GCUGGGUGUGGUGGUGCACACCUGUAAUCCCAGUGACUUGGGAGGCUGAGGCAGAAGGAUCACGAGUUCAAAACCAGCCUCAG
rnacentral:sRNA from 1 species